GGUGCGAUUUUGGGCGACGAGUGGCGGACGGGUGAGUAAUGCUUAGGAAUCUGCCCAGUAGCGGGGAUAGCUCGGGGAAACUCGAAUUAAUACCGCAUACGCCCUACGGGGGAAAGCAGGGGAUCUUCGGACCUUGCACUAUUGGAUGAGCCUAAGUCAGAUUAGCUUGUUGGUGGGGUAAUGGCCUACCAAGGCGACGAUCUGUAGCUGGUCUGAGAGGACGAUCAGCCACACUGGGACUGAGACACGGCCCAGACUCCUACGGGAGGCAGCAGUGGGGAAUAUUGGACAAUGGGGGCAACCCUGAUCCAGCAAUGCCGCGUGUGUGAAGAAGGCCUGCGGGUUGUAAAGCACUUUCAGUAAGGAAGAAAUCCUCAGGGUUAAUACCCCUGUGGCUUGACAUUACUUACAGAAGAAGCACCGGCUAACUCCGUGCCAGCAGCCGCGGUAAUACGGAGGGUGCGAGCGUUAAUCGGAAUUACUGGGCGUAAAGCGCGCGUAGGUGGCUUGGUCAGUCGGAUGUGAAAGCCCCGGGCUUAACCUGGGAAUUGCAUUCGAUACUGCCUGGCUAGAGUAUGAUAGAGGAAAGUGGAAUUCCCGGUGUAGCGGUGAAAUGCGUAGAUAUCGGGAGGAACAUCAGUGGCGAAGGCGACUUUCUGGAUCAAUACUGACACUGAGGUGCGAAAGCGUGGGUAGCAAACAGGAUUAGAUACCCUGGUAGUCCACGCCCUAAACGAUGUCAACUAGCCGUUGGGUUCAUUUAAGGACUUAGUGGCGCAGCUAACGCGUUAAGUUGACCGCCUGGGGAGUACGGCCGCAAGGUUAAAACUCAAAGGAAUUGACAGG
rnacentral:rRNA from 1 species